UAAUUUCUGCACCACCUUUUUCACUUUUUAAUCCUUCUGCUUUCAAAUUUUGCUUAAUCAAAUAAACUCUUCAAAGUUAAUUUCUUUGUGGGAGGUGUGGGAAAUUGGGAUAGUGGUUGAGAAAUCAACAUUUUGAGUUAUUUGAACUCUAAUGCUAUCUUUGCAGUUCAUUCUGGAAGUGCUAAGUUUAGUGCUGUGCCAAUGUCUAGUAUUUUGGGUUGUAAAUGGCCAAUUUUUUUUUCUGUUUAUAUUUCCAUUUUUUUUCUUUUUAGAUGGUUAAAAGAUGUAAUAGUAUAUAUUUAUGUCAUUAUAAUGUGUCACAAAAAAUGACUUGGAAGAUAAUAGUCAGAGCUUUGACUUUUAAACUUCCAUUGUUUUUACUAACACUAUAGUAUAUCUUGAAUAAUGCAGUCUCUGUCAUCUCAUUGUAAUUGAAGUAAGCAAGGGGAGUUAAUAUCAAGAAAAGUACAUAAUCUGAAAGUUGUUUUAUAAUAAAUCUUUGUACUUAUAUUAGCUUAUAAUAAUAUAUAGAAUCCUAAGAACGCACUCAUUUUAAAACCAAACAAAAAAGCCAUUCUGUGAAGCUUCAAUUUCUAAGGAGCCUUAAAACCAGCUCAACUUUUUAAUUGUACUAAUGUUCUUGAUCCCCAGUUAUUGGAUAUCUUGAUUGGGAAGGUUACUUUAAUAUAUUUUUUAUGAUAUUUUUGAGAGAAGAAAGAAGAUGGUAUCUCUCACA